UGGAUGAUCUACCUUCUAGUGGGGAAUAACCCAGGGAAACCGGGGCUAAUACCGCAUAAGCUCGAGAGAGGAAAGCAGCAAUGCGCUGGAAGAGGAGUCCGCGGCCGAUUAGCUAGUUGGCAGGGUAAAAGCCUACCAAGGCAUCGAUCGGUAGCCAGCCUGAGAGGGCACACGGCCACACUGGCACUGAAACACGGGCCAGACUCCGUACGGGAGGCAG
rnacentral:rRNA from 1 species